rnacentral:rRNA from 1 species
CCAAGUGACAGGUGCUGCAUGGCUGUCGUCAGCUCGUGUCGUGAGAUGUUCGGUUAGGUCCGGCAACGAGCGCAACCCACAUCCCUAGUUGCCAGCAGGUUAAGCUGGGCACUCUAUGGAAACUGCCCGUGAUAAGCGGGAGGAAGGUGUGGAUGACGUCAAGUCCUCAUGGCCCUUACGGGUUGGGCUACACACGUGCUACAAUGGCAGUGACAAUGGGUUAAUCCCAAAAAGCUGUCUCAGUUCGGAUUGGGGUCUGCAACUCGACCCCAUGAAGUCGGAAUCGCUAGUAAUCGCGUAACAGCAUGACGCGGUGAAUACGUUCCCGGGCCUU